CUCUGUUGUCAUGGAGACCAGGGCUGGGAUCACAGAGUCUCCCACCCCCUUGUCCUCCUCUUCAGCCUGAGCCUCACGUCGGGAAAAGACCCAAUGAGAGCCGUCGCCAGCGUCUCCACGUGGGGCCGUACCACAGCCUCAAACAUGCAUCCGGGACAGGAGGAGGGGCGCACCCAAACUGCCAGACAGAACUGCCGCAGCUUCUGGGAAUCAGCACUUUCAAAAACAAAAAUUGCGUGGUUAUUUUACGAGUAGCCCCGUCAUCUCUAGGACGUUACAGGUGGUUGGGGAAGCCCUGCGUCAGGAGGUGUGCUGGAGUCAUUGACGCCUUCACCCAGAGCUCGCUGAGCCGCUGCUGUGGGCCAGGCAGGGGCAGCGCGGGCCCUGGCGUAGAGCAGCGGGCUGCACACAGCCCUGGACACGGCGACCUCCGGCAGUCGAGUUGGCACCCUGAGUCGGCCUGCGACGGGGCGUGUGAGCCGGAAAGGUUCCUCAUCUAUGAAAGGAAUUACAGUGAGGGAGAAACGGGAAGCUGUGGUCCCUGGCACCUGGAAGCCCUGCAUAAAGGCCUCUUGAACUCUGAGUGGACAGCAAGCUGGUCCAGCAGGAGGCGAAGUCAACAACAACAGCCACGGCGAAUGCUGCUCAGAGCUUGCUCCACGUCGCGCUCCUUGAAGUACAGGCUUUCGCCCCAUGAGGCAAGACAGGCACCCAGAGGCCCCAGCUCUCGGCAUUAAGUCAUUUUCUACAUCAGUGGCCAGAUCACAGACUCGG
rnacentral:lncRNA from 1 species